rnacentral:rRNA from 1 species
GACGAACGCUGGCGGCGUGCUUAACACAUGCAAGUCGAGCGGAAAGGCCCUUCGGGGUACUCGAGCGGCGAACGGGUGAGUAACACGUGAGUAAUCUGCCCUUGGCUUUGGGAUAACUACCGGAAACGGUGGCUAAUACCGGAUACGACAACCGUCUGCAUGGGCUGGUUGUGGAACGUUUUUUCGGCCAGGGAUGUGCUCGCGGCCUAUCAGCGUGUUGGUGGGGUAAUGGCCUACCAAGGCUUCGACGGGUAGCCGGCCUGAGAGGGUGACCGGCCACACUGGGACUGAGACACGGCCCAGACGCCUACGGGAGGCAGCAGUGGGGAAUAUUGGACAAUGGGCGGAAGCCUGAUCCAGCAACGCCGCGGGAGGGAUGACGGCCUUCGGGUUGUAAACCUCUUUCAGUACCGACGAAGCGCCGAUGAUGGUGGUGACGGUAGGUACAGAAGAAGCACCGGCCAACUACGUG